rnacentral:rRNA from 1 species
AAAAAAGGUAAGCUACUAAGAGCGAAUGGUGGAUGCCUUGACUGGUAAAGGCGAUGAAGGACGUACUAGACUGCGAUAAGCUACGGGGAGCUGUCAAGAAGCUUUGAUCCGUAGAUUUCCGAAUGGGGCAACCCAAUGUAUAGAGAUAUACAUUACCUAUAUAGGAGCGAACGAGGGGAAUUGAAACAUCUUAGUACCCUCAGGAAAAGAAAUCAAUAGAGAUUGCGUCAGUAGCGGCGAGCGAAAGCGCAAGAGGGCAAACCCAGUGCUUGCACUGGGGGUUGUAGGACUGCAAUGUGCAAGAGGUAAGUUUAGCAGAACAUUCUGGAAAGUAUAACCAUAGAGGGUGAUAGUCCCGUAUGCGAAAAACAAACCUUAGCUAGCAGUAUCCUGAGUAGGGCGGGACACGAGGAAUCCUGUCUGAAUCCGGGUCGACCACGAUCCAACCCUAAAUACUAAUACCAGAUCGAUAGUGCACAAGUACCGUGAGGGAAAGGUGAAAAGAACUGAGGUGAUCAGAGUGAAAUAGAACCUGAAACCAUUUGCUUACAAUCAUUCAGAGCCCUAUGUAGCAAUACAGGGUGAUGGACUGCCUUUUGCAUAAUGAGCCUGCGAGUUGUGGUGUCUGGCAAGGUUAAGCAAACGCGAAGCCGUAGCGAAAGCGAGUCUGAAUAGGGCGCUUAGUCAGAUGCUGCAGACCCGAAACGAAGUGAUCUAUCCAUGAGCAAGUUGAAGCUAGUGUAAGAACUAGUGGAGGACUGAACCCAUAGGCGUUGAAAAGCCCCGGGAUGACUUGUGGAUAGGGGUGAAAGGCCAAUCAAACUUCGUGAUAGCUGGUUCUCUCCGAAAUAUAUUUAGGUAUAGCGUUGUGUCGUAAUAUAAGGGGGUAGAGCACUGAAUGGGCUAGGGCAUACACCAAUGUACCAAACCCUAUCAAACUCCGAAUACCUUAUAUGUAAUCACAGCAGUCAGGCGGCGAGUGAUAAAAUCCGUCGUCAAGAGGGAAACAACCCAGACUACCAGCUAAGGUCCCUAAAUCUUACUUAAGUGGAAAACGAUGUGAAGUUACUUAAACAACCAGGAGGUUGGCUUAGAAGCAGCCAUCCUUUAAAGAAAGCGUAAUAGCUCACUGGUCUAGUGAUUUUGCGCGGAAAAUAUAACGGGGCUAAAGUAAGUACCGAAGCUGUAGACUUGCACACAACUUAGAUUAUUUAAGUUUAGAAUAUGAGAAACUAAGUUAUAUGUUUAGUUAUAUUUUUACUGAUUUUUAUAGAGUAAAGAUAGAAAUAAAACUUAGUAAAAUCAGUAAAAAUAUUCUUAGACUAAAGUUAAGUAGUUUAAGUUGUGUGCAAGUGGUAGGAGAGCGUUCUAUUUGCGUCGAAGGUAUACCGGUAAGGAGUGCUGGAGCGAAUAGAAGUGAGCAUGCAGGCAUGAGUAGCGAUAAUUAAUGUGAGAAU